rnacentral:rRNA from 1 species
CAAUGGCAGGUACAGCGGGAAGCCACCUGGCGACAGGGAGCGGACCCGAAAGCCUGUCUCAGUUCGGAUUGGAGUCUGCAACCCGACUCCAUGAAGCUGGAUUCGCUAGUAAUCGCGCAUCAGCCACGGCGCGGUGAAUACGUUCCCGGGCCUUGUACACACCGCCCGUCAAGCCAUGGAAGCCGGGGGUGCCUGAAGUGCGCUGCCGCGAGGAGCGCCCUAGGGUAAAACCGGUGACUGGGGCUAAGUCGUAACAAGGUAAC